AGUACUCGAGUGGCGAACGGGUGAGUAACACGUGGGUAAUCCGCCCUGCACUCUGGGAUAAGCCUGGGAAACUGGGUCUAAUACUGGAUAUGACCUUUCUCCUUAUGGGGUUUGGUGGAAAGUUUUUCGGUGUAGGAUGAGCCCGCGGCCUAUCAGCUUGUUGGUGGGGUGAUGGCCUACCAAGGCGACGACGGGUAGCCGGCCUGAGAGGGUGACCGGCCACAUUGGGACUGAGAUACGGCCCAG
rnacentral:rRNA from 1 species